GCCAGGCGCAGCGGUGCAUGCCUGUAAUCCCAGUGGCUUGGGAGGCUGAGACAGGAGGAUGGUGAGUUCAAAGUCAGCCUCAGCAAAAGUGAGGUGCUGAGCAACUCAGUGAGAUCCUGUCUCUA
rnacentral:sRNA from 1 species